rnacentral:tRNA from 1 species
GGCAGUAUGGUCAAGUGGUGAGGCGAAGGUCUGCAAAACCUUGAUCCCCAGUUCGAAUCUGGGUACUGCCUCCA